rnacentral:rRNA from 1 species
ACUCCUACGGGAGGCAGCAGUGGGGAAUUUUGGACAAUGGGCGAAAGCCUGAUCCAGCAAUGCCGCGUGAGUGAAGAAGGCCUUCGGGUUGUAAAGCCUUUUUGUCAGGGAAGAAACGGUGAGAGCUAAUAUCUCUUGCUAAUGACGGUACCUGAAGAAUAAGCACCGGCUAACUACGUGCCAGCAGCCGCGGUAAUACGUAGGGUGCAAGCGUUAAUCGGACUUACUGGGCGUAAAGCGUGCGCAGGCGGUUUUGUAAGUCUGAUGUGAAAUCCCCGGGCUCAACCUGGGAAUUGCAUUGGAGACUGCAAGGCUAGAAUCUGGCAGAGGGGGGUGGAAUUCCACGGGUAGCAGUGAAAUGCGUAGAUAUGUGGGGGAACACCGAUGGCGAAGGCAGCCCCCUGGGUCAAGAUUGACGCUCAUGCACGAAAGCGUGGGGAGCAAACAGGUUUAGAAACCCCAGUAGUCCCA